UUGACGGGGGCCCGCACAAGCAGUGGAGUAUGUGGUUAAUUCGACGCAACGCGAAGAACCUUACCAGGGCUUGACAUCCCCUGACCGCGUAUGAAAGUACGUUUUCACCUCGGGUGACAGGGAGACAGGUGGUGCAUGGUUGUCGUCAGCUCGUGUCGUGAGAUGUUGGGUUAAGUCCCGCAACGAGCGCAACCCCUACGUUUAGUUGCUAACGCGUGAAGGCGAGCACUCUAGACGAACUGCCGUUGACAAAACGGAGGAAGGUGGGAUGACGUCAAAUCAUCAUGCCCCUUAUGUUCUGGGCUACACACGUGCUACAAUGGCCGGUACAGACGGACGCAAAGCCGCGAGGUGGAGCAAAUCCUAAAAAGCCGGUCUCAGUUCGGAUUGCAGGCUGCAAUUCGCCUGCAUGAAGUCGGAAUCGCUAGUAAUCGCAGGUCAGCAUACUGCGGUGAAUACGUUCCCGGGCCUU
rnacentral:rRNA from 1 species